GAGGGUAUAGCUCAGCUGGUUAGAGUACCUGCUUGACAUGCAGGGGGUCGGUGGUUCAAGUCCACUUAUCCUCACCA
rnacentral:tRNA from 2 species